GUGCCAGCCGCCGCGGUAAUUCCAGCUCCAAUAGCGUAUAUUAAAGUUGUUGUGGUUAAAAAGCUCGUAGUUGAACCUUGGGCCUGGCUGGCCGGUCCGCCUCACCGCGUGCACUGGUCCGGCCGGGCCUUUCCCUCUGUGGAACCCCAUACCCUUCACUGGGCGUGGCGGGGAAACAGGACAUUUACUUUGAAAAAAUUAGAGUGCUCCAGGCAGGCCUAUGCCCGAAUACAUUAGCAUGGAAUAAUAAAAUAGGACGCGCGGUUCUAUUUUGUUGGUUUAUAGGACCGCCGUAAUGAUUAAUAGGGACAGUCGGGGGCAUCAGUAUUCAACUGUCAGAGGUGAAAUUCUUGGAUCAGUUGAAGACUAACUACUGCGAAAGCAUUUGCCAAGGAUGUUUUCAUUAAUCAGGAACGAAAGUUAGGGGAUCGAAGACGAUCAGAUACCGUCGUAGUCUUAACCAUAAACUAUGCCGACUAGGGAUCGGACGGUGUUAUUCAUGACCCGUUCGGCACCUUACGAGAAAUCAAAGUGCUUGGGCUCCAGGGGGAGUAUGGUCGCAAGGCUGAAACUUAAAGAAAUUGACGGAAGGGCACCACCAGGGGUGGAGCCUGCGGCUUAAUUUGACUCAACACGGGGAAACUCACCAGGUCCAGACACAAUAAGGAUUGACAGAUUGAGAGCUCUUUCUUGAUUUUGUGGGUGGUGGUGCAUGGCCGUUCUUAGUUGGUGGGGUGACUUGUCUGCUUAAUUGCGAUAACGAACGAGACCUUAACCUGCUAAAUAGCCCGCAUUGCUCCGGCAGUGCGCUGGCUUCUUAGAGGGACUUUCGG
rnacentral:rRNA from 1 species